AGCGAACGCUGGCGGCAGGCCUAACACAUGCAAGUCGAACGAACCUUUCGGGGUUAGUGGCGGACGGGUGAGUAACACGUGGGAACGUGCCUUUAGGUUCGGAAUAACUCAGGGAAACUUGUGCUAAUACCGAAUGUGCCCUUCGGGGGAAAGAUUUAUCGCCGUUAGAGCGGCCCGCGUCUGAUUAGCUAGUUGGUUGAGGUAAUGGCCCACCAAGGCGACGAUCAGUAGCUGGUCUGAGAGGAUGAUCAGCCACAUUGGGACUGAGACACGGCCCAAACUCCUACGGGAGGCAGCAGUGGGGAAUCUUGCGCAAUGGGCGAAAGCCUGACGCAUCCAUGCCGCGUGAAUGAUGAAGGUCUUAGGAUUGUAAAAUUCUUUCACCGGGGACGAUAAUGACGGUACCCGGAGAAGAAGCCCCGGCUAACUUCGUG
rnacentral:rRNA from 1 species